rnacentral:rRNA from 1 species
GAGGGGAUCCAGAUCUCCUACGGGAGGCAGCAGUGGGGAAUAUUGCACAAUGGGCGAAAGCCUGAUGCAGCAACGCCGCGUGAGCGAUGAAGGCCUUCGGGUCGUAAAGCUCUGUCCUAUGGGAAGAUAAUGACGGUACCAUAGGAGGAAGCCCGGCUAACUACGUGCCAGCAGCCGCGGUAAUAAGCUUGAUUCGCCCG